rnacentral:sRNA from 1 species
ACUUCUCCAUUUAUCACCUUAACCUGCAGCAGAGUUUCUUGCCAGGCUCAGUUGUGCUGCCUGUAGCACGCUAUGAUAAACAGGUGUCCACACCAAGUUCGGUAUCGGUAUGACCACCAGGUUAGUCUAAGGAGGGGUGAACUGACCCAGGUUGGAAACAAAGCAGGUCAAAGCCCCUGAGCUGUCCGGUAGUGGUUUAGUGCAGGUGAGUAAACGCUGCAGUGCAGCCUUGGCAAGAC